rnacentral:lncRNA from 1 species
GUCACUGAAAGACUUUUCUGGCCAACCAAGCAUGAGCCUUACAGAAUGGAGCAAGCACUGUUCUCCCAGAUGAAACCCAAUGGAAAAUAAGUGUGUAAUGAAGAGAAAAAAAGCAGAGAGUCUAGGAAAUUAAACCCAAGGAGAGGAGGCUGGAGGAGAAGAAUGAGAAAGUGUCAGGAAGUUCCAGAUUGAGAAAGAUAAGGGGACAAGUUCUCAGUAGGUGAAUACUGGUGUUCAGAAGAGAUAUUCAGAGAUAUCAGC